rnacentral:rRNA from 1 species
ACCGGGGAUUGCCUUAGUACGGCGAGUGAGCGGCAAAAGCUCAAAUUUGAAAUCUGGCGUUUCGACGUCCGAGUUGUAAUUUGAAGAAGGCGACUUUGUAGCUGGUCCUUGUCUAUGUUCCUUGGAACAGGACGUCAUAGAGGGUGAGAAUCCCGUGUGGCGAGGAUCCCAGUUAUUUGUAAAGUGCUUUCGACGAGUCGAGUUGUUUGGGAAUGCAGCUCUAAGUGGGUGGUAAAUUCCAUCUAAAGCUAAAUAUUGGCGAGAGACCGAUAGCGAACAAGUACAGUGAUGGAAAGAUGAAAAGAACUUUGAAAAGAGAGUGAAAAAGUACGUGAAAUUGUUGAAAGGGAAGGGCAUUUGAUCAGACAUGGCGUUUGCUUCGGCUUUCGCUGGGCCAGCAUCAGUUUUAGCGGUUGGAUAAAUCCUCGGGAAUGUGGCUCUGCUUCGGUAGAGUGUUAUAGCCCGUGGGAAUACAGCCAGCUGGGACUGAGGAUUGCGACUUUUGUCAAGGAUGCUGGCGUAAUGGUUAAAUGCCGCCCGUCUUGAA